CCCAGGGCAAACGUAAAUUGGUUGGGGCCACUUCUAAAGGGGGAACUGCCCGGUGAACCAAAACCGGGAAGGAAAGGUGGGGGAUGGAAGUCCAGUCAUUCAUGGCCCUUACGGGCCUGGGGCUACCACACGUGCUACAAUGGUUCGGUACAAAGGGUUGCCAAGCCGCGAGGUGGAGCUAAUCCCAUAAAACCGAUCGUAGUCCGGAUCGCAGUCUGCAACUCGACUGCGUGAAGUCGGAAUCGCUAGUAAUCGUGAAUCAGAAUGUCACGGUGAAUACGUUCCCGGGCCUUGUACACACCGCCCGUGAAUCACUAGU
rnacentral:rRNA from 1 species